rnacentral:misc_RNA from 1 species
GCAACAUUCAUACAAAACCAUUAUGAGCCACGAAUAUCUUCAAGAGUCAUAAUACUAUACUAUUAAAGGUUUACUUUAGAGCAACAUUCACAUUUAAAGAGGUGUCCGUCAAAAUUAUAUCUUUGGAAUUAUCUGCCUUUGGAUGGUUUGGACAUUCAAACUUGAGUCUCACAUGUACAGGUCUUGUUAUGAUGAUUUCUUCUAAAUCUCUUUUUGAUGCAAGCAAGAACUGAAGAAUUACAUCUCUGCUUACCAUUGUCCCAGGGUUUAGCAGAUCUGCUAUCCUGUCUGCUUUCCGUUGUCUACUGUCACUACGGCCAUCUGAAUCCUUUUUCAGUCUCAGAUAUAGUGCAGCACU